UACGUAGGGUGCAAGCGUUAAUCGGAAUUACUGGGCGUAAAGCGUGCGCAGGCGGUUGUGUAAGUCAGAUGUGAAAUCCCCGGGCUCAACCUGGGAAUUGCAUUUGAGACUGCACGGCUAGAGUGUGUCAGAGGGGGGUAGAAUUCCACGUGUAGCAGUGAAAUGCGUAGAUAUGUGGAGGAAUACCGAUGGCGAAGGCAGCCCCCUGGGAUAACACUGACGCUCAUGCACGAAAGCGUGGGGAGCAAACAGG
rnacentral:rRNA from 2 species